ACCAAGUCCCGCUGCGGACCAACAUCCUUUCCGCGCCACACACUUCCAAACCCUAGCCACCAACUCCACCCUACUUCUUUCGCCCCUAAAUCCCUCGCCGCCGCCAACCACCGUUUCUCCCCGCGCACUGCGCCCCGAAGUCGCCCGAGCACCUCAGCCUACUCUCUCCGAUCUGUACGUGUUGCUUUGCCUCCGCCGCUUACCACCACCCAUGGCUCCUCUGUUGUUGGACCAUGCCGACACCGCAGCUCCGGUCUGUGUACCACCCCACCCACACCGGCGCUUUGCCUACUCCUUCACACGGCCACGAUCCUGCACAAACGGCGCUGCCACCGCCAGAUUGUGGUUCUCCUCUAGAUCCUGCAGUUCGCCGGCGUCACGGGAGCAUUUAGGAAGCAUUGACCACUUGCAUUGCAAAUACAAGGAACAUAAUCAGGGAGGUUGGCAAUAAGAAGUUGAGAUUAUCAUUCGCCUUGGUUCAGUAAUUGUGAUGUUCCUCCAUGGUUCAGCCAUCCUGCGAGUGCUCGGCUUGGGGCGGUCCAUUGGCUCGAAUGAAUGCCAGCUCCCAGCCCAUGGCCUUGUCCACUAGUUUUUCCUCUUACUGUACUAAGCUGCAAAAGCUUUUUUUAUUGAUUUUUUCAACUCAUCUCAGUACUACAAAUAAGAAGCAAUGAUAAUAAGGUUGCUGCUUUCAUGUUUACUGCAGAAAGUAUCCAACAUUCUUCUUAAAUUUGGGUACUGUAAUGUACAGAGGUUUUCAUCUAUAGAUAAGCACAUCGAUGGAGAUACAAGGCAUGGUCAAAGGCAAUCUGUUUCCGGUACACAGUCUGUACUUAUUAAAAUAUGUGAGAAAGGUUUCUGCAAUGAUGUUCCAUAUGUGUCGUUUGCAGCUCGAUGAUUAAUUUGUAGAUUGAUAUUUCAUUCAUUUCGAUUUAUGUACAUGUUCACAUUUCCAUACAUUCACAUGAUUAUAUGAUUGAGACGACCGAGUCAUCAACUGUCUAACAGAUCAACUUGAUCUUGUAUGUACCCUUUUGAGAUCUCAUUUUCCUAUUUGCAAUUAAUCUUGAUCAGGAGUAAGAUUUAAGGUUCGAGAUCGAUCUAUGAGAGGUGUAAUAUCCUCUGCUUUUAUCAAAGGUAUGGUUAUACUGUUAUUUCUCAACAUGUCUCAAACUUAAGUAAUGAUUAAUUUUGAUACAAGUUUUUGAUAUUGUGAGAUCAUGAUAUCUCUAGUAUGCUCAAGAACAUCUAUGUACCUAGACAUUAUAGUUUAGAGUAUUGACAAUGAAACUAUACCUGGAAAUGCCAUUUACCAGUAGCUAUGCAUGAGAAAUGCAUGUUCUGUAAUAACAAUUAACAAGACAAACAUAUGUUGAGGGGCUCCUGUCAUAGGCUAUACUGUAUGUCAUCUUAAUUUAGUUAAUCUUAUUACUACAUUCUUCUUGGAACAUACUGUAUGCCGUCAGUCAUGUAACUAUUGUGGAUGGGGCUCUUCCCCCUCUUCUUCUUUAAUAGUAUAUGAUACACACACUCGUGCAUAUUCCAGAAAAGAUAUAUUUUCUUAUUAUAUGUUCCAGCUGUAUUGGUGUGGAGCCUGCCCUAGUGCUCUCACUAAUUAUAUAGAUGCUACUUAAAAUUGUAAGUAGUACACACUAGACUAAAGUGUAGCACAGAUCCAUAUAAAUGACUUUGGAAGACUGAAAUGCAGAAACUUAACUCCCCAUUAUUGUCGAGUGGUUUGCAAAUUAGGCUGAGUUGUAUCCUGAUUCUCCAUGUUCUUUGUUGAUUGCUUAUCCACGUAUUGAAAAACAAUGAAUUUGUACAUGUGUUCUUUCAUUGCAGAACUGUUAUAUUCAGCAGGCGCAUCCUUUUGAGGCUAGGUAUUACUAUUUUCUCAAAACAACAUUACUCAUGCAUUUGUUGUCAAUUUUUAUACAAUUAUGUGUCUUAUAGUUUCACUCAGUUAUUAUGUGAUAACUUUAGAGGAAUGGAGCCAAGGUUUGGCCAAGUUAAUUUGAGAAACUGAUAUGUCGAAUAUGUACUUUUGUAUCAUCUAGAUAAUGAUCUAGUUCUUGCACAAUCAUACUUCAACGAGUCUAUUCUUUUUUUAACAGAGCAAUGAGUCUAUUUGGUGCAGGGUAAUCUGUAAGAGAAGCUUGCAAUCCAAGCUAUGAUUGAGUGACAAAUGAGCUCCUAUUUCUCCAUAUAUAGUUGAAGGACUUAUGUUUUAUUAGAUGUGCACUUCUAUUUCAGUGACCUUCAGCCGUUGUAUGCUAAUUAUAGACAGAUUUGUAUAUGAAGUACAUAUAUGUGAUUUAUUUGAACUAUGAUUAAUGUAACAUAUUGAGUUGUUGUGUAUAUUCUAGAUUCAUUGUGAGA